rnacentral:sRNA from 1 species
AUACUUUCGAGUCCCUCUCGGGCCGGGAAGCGCGGAGAUGACGGCGCCCGCCCUCCCGCCGCCGCCGUAAGGUUGCUCCAACUGUGUGUUCCAGGAGUGGUGGCUCUGAGGUGUGACCCUGCCCACGUUUGGGCCCAGCCAGGUUCAGCCCCCCAAUAAGGAGGGCAGCUUGAUAACACAAAGAAAACAGUGUCAACGAGUACUACCAAGAGAAGAAGACAAGAGGUCAACACAGACUCAUUUUCUACUCCGUGUGAAUGAUAGCUACAGCAGGGGAAAGUUUCAUAGUCUAUCAGUGGGUCAGAAAAUGGAGGUAAUCAGCAGUGUGGCGGGAGGGUUCUUCUUUCCAUUUUCUAGGGUAUGUUACCUGCUUUAUACAUAUUUUUUAAGAAACAGGCUUUGAUAUGUCAAUUUGAAAUUUGUUUGUAACUCUGAUAGCGUUGGCUUCUCAAAUCUCUUAUAAAAUUCAGGCUCCCCAUCAGAAUCACUGUAUUGCAGCAGUGGAGUUAAAUGAAACCUGAUGUUUCUCAUCACUAGUUUUAGGUCUGGAACAUUUGUGUAGUAGUGAAUGAGCCUAGGUUCUUAGGAGGGUGCUGCAGGGCGGCAGCUUUCUGGGCUUUGUCAUUGUUGGCUUGGCCUUUCCCACUCUGCCUAACCCAGAUUAGGAAAGGUAGAGAAACCUGCCUCUCAUGAGUUUGAGUCCUAUUGGUAGUGCACACUCAGAAAGGAGGCAAGGUAACUUCGUCCUUGGUAUGCCAAGACUUGGUUUAAAUGAAAGCUUCCGUCACUCUGGGCGUGAAUGUGGCCUUUAACUGGAGAAAGACAGCAUUGGAUGUUUUUGACCUGAAUUACAAUUAGAGUAGCCAUGGCCAGCGCCCCCUGGCAAUGACAGAAGCCUAAACUUCCCCAUGAUCACAUCAGCAAUUUCCAAUUUUCAGUUUUAUAGCAGAGGCUUCUUAGAAGCUUAAACCCCUGUCCCAAUGACGUCAAGUUCGCCCGUUGGCUUGGAAGGUUCAGACCUAUCUUCCAUCAACACCAUGAUGUCGGCGGUCAUGAGUGUAGGGAAGGUCACAGAGAAUGGCGGGAGCCCCCAGGGGAUCAAGUCCCCCUCGAAGCCUCCAGGACCAAAUCGGAUUGGCAGAAGGAACCAGGAAACGAAAGAGGAGAAGUCUUCCUAUAACUGCCCCCUGUGUGAGAAGAUUUGCACUACCCAGCACCAGCUGACCAUGCACAUUCGCCAGCACAACACAGACACUGGAGGAGCCGACCACUCAUGCAGCAUCUGCGGCAAGUCACUGAGCUCGGCCAGCUCCCUCGAUCGCCACAUGCUGGUGCACUCUGGCGAGAGGCCUUACAAGUGCACUGUGUGUGGCCAGUCAUUUACCACCAAUGGGAACAUGCACAGACAUAUGAAGAUCCAUGAGAAGGACCCUAACAGUGCCACAGCCACAGCCCCUCCAUCUCCUCUGAAACGUAGGCGAUUGUCCUCCAAGAGGAAACUGAGUCACGAUGCUGAGUCAGAGAGAGAAGACCCAGCACCAGCUAAAAAGAUGGUAGAAGACGGGCAGUCAGGUGACUUGGAGAAGAAAGCUGAUGAAGUCUUUCACUGCCCAGUAUGUUUCAAGGAGUUUGUUUGCAAGUAUGGACUGGAGACCCACAUGGAGACCCAUUCAGAUAACCCACUAAGGUAGGAGAAAGAGUGAACUAGACCUUGUUCAUUCCUGUUUCUCCUGGCAUGUGACAAUGUUCUUAAGUCCCGUUACUCCACACCGGGCUCCAGUGAUUGAACUUGGGCACAACAACAUUAGGGAGGCAGUUAAGAAAGUAUUGGUGUGGGGAAAAAGUUGGCUGAGAGUUGUCAGAGGGUGGCUGUAUCCACAGGGUGUUCACAUGGUUCACUGUGCCUUCUUUCUCUCAGCAAAGCCCCUUGAGUAGUCACCAGUGAGCCCCUGAACACUGGGGAGUCUGCUAUCAUGGGUGUUCUUGGACAACAGAUAGAUUUUCUUCGCAAAAGAUGUUGCAACUCAAAUGACUAUUAGCAAUGCAUGAAUAUGUGGCCCAAACAGGGACAGCCCACGUGUUGGAUACCCCUGGCACAGCACUGGUCCAUCAUAGGCACUCAGAAGUGUUUGAACUGAGCUGGACCUGAUAGCACAGAAACCUGAGAAGCCAUUUUGGGGUCAGAGAAAGUUCUACUUAGUGCAGGACACUUGGCCAAAAAUAGAACCUGAUAUGUUUCAAUAAAAAAGUGACAGGUGAUUGCUCUGCCAUCCAGCUUCAAUUGUAGGGGCUUCCCAGCUCCAGUGUUUCUGAUCCUCAGCCUUGCCAGGCAGAAAACACGAGUAGUGACAGGACUUCCCACAAGAAUUCAGGGGACUCAUCUUUCUUUCUCUACCUUCUCUGAUAACUCAUCAGGCAACCGUUAGUCCUGUAUUCUUGAUGAGUUGAUAGAUUUGGAAGUUAUUCCUAGAAAAUUGCCACUUUAAAAAUGUUAACUGCCAGAGAUUUUAAGCAUUAGAAAGAACAAAGAACUACUUAGGAACCCCUGUUGUCGUUGAGAGACUUGAAAGUGGCCCAUCCUGGAAGUCACACACAGCUGCAGGGUCACGAGCACACAGCAGGGCCAUACACGCGUGCAGCUUUGGGUUUUAGAAGACAGCUUGGGAAUGCAGGAAUUUGGGCAUCUGUUUGCCUGAAUCCCUGAUAUAUGGACCAGAUUUCCUUCUUGAAGACACAUGUUUAGCUGUGACUUAGGAAUGGGAAAGUCUGAGCAAGCUGAAGACUUAUGUUAUAGGGAAAAUCCAAAUCGUACAGUAACUUGAUGCCAGGUCAAAUAUGAUUAUCCUUAAUCACAUUAGCCUGACAUUUUUCCAUUGGUGAGGGAAAAAGGAACUUACGAAGAAUUUAAACUGCUGAACAAUUGAAGUGCUAUAAAAUGUCUUUACGGAACUCCCCAGUCUCAAGAAAUUGCCUGAUCAUUGGGUUGGGCACAGACUGGUUGUCAGGCCUAGACCUCACUCCUCUCUCUGCUCAUACAGGACCUCAGCCAGCUACAUCUGAACCUGUUUUCUCAUCCUUCAAAUUGAAGGAGGGCAGGACCAGAUAAUCCUUGUGUUACUAAAACCUUAUUUUUAUUUAUUUAUUUAUUUUUGGUUUUUUUGAGAAAAGUUUUGCUUUGUCACCCAGGCUGGAGUACACUGGCGCAAUCUUGGCUCACUGCAACCUCUGCCUCCUGGGUUCAAGUGAUUCUCCUGCCUCAGCCUCCCGAGUAGCUGGGAUUACAGGUGUGUACCACCACACCUGGCUAAUUUUUGGUAGAGAUGGGGUUUCACCAUUUUGGCCAGGCUUGUCUCAAACUCCUGACCUCUGGUGAUCUGCCCCAUCUUGGCCUCCUAAAGUGCUGGGAUUAUAGGCAUGAACCACCAUGCUCAGCCCCAAAGCCUGCCUCUUAACAGUUGUUUUAUUCUGUCUACCAGGAAAAGGCAUAUGGCCCCUCCCUGUGUAGGCCCUCUAGUUCUGAGAGAUUUGGGAAACUUCACAGGUUCAGGAAUGUUCACAGCAUCCCCAGGAUGUGGGCUUGUGGUGGGUGGCAAAUACUGAAAUAGUUCUCUAGAUCAAGGACCCGAGUGAGCAGAGAUGACAUUACCAGCUGAACCUCCCAAAGAGAAUCAUGAGCAGAGGCAGAAACAGCACAGGGGACCCCAGCUCCUGCUCACGUUCCUACCCAGCAGCCUUCAGAGCCAGUGCUGCAGUGAAUACAGGCUGUCUCUGAGCCCGUCUGUAUACUUCAUCUCACUUCAUAUUUUAUUCUGUGAUCAGAUACCACCUUAGAAACUAUCAUUUACCCCCUUCUAGAUAAUUCUAUUCUGCAGGAAAAAUAAUGUGGCUCCCACAAGAGAUUUCUCAGCAGUCCAAGCCUGCAUAGCAUGGUGUGUGGCAGCGAUAGACGCAGAUCAGGUGUCUCCUUCUGAAAUGCUGACCUGGGUGAGGGACAAGGUUCUCCUGGAGCAAUCCUCUGAACAAGGACCUGCUCCAGGGAGAGGCCAGGCUUCCUCUGCACAGAGGUUGGAGAUGGGCAUUGCACUGGACGCUCGUCAUUUUUUUCAUAGUUGGGAUGGGUAGGAUUUGGUGGGUGAUUAAUCCACAAUGAUGGUAGGGCUGGUGCUGUAGACAGGCUGUGAAGUUGAACCCUCAGUCCUGCACGUCCAGCUAGCCGACCUAGAGGAUUUUCCUCACCUGUUUACUAAUAAUGCCCUGUGUUUGGUGAGGGGUUGGCUUCACAGUUUUGUAGCCUGACAGGGACUUGGCCCCUCUGGGCAGGCUCUCACUUCGCUGGCCCCACAGCUGUGGCUGAGGGGUGGCCCGUAAGAAGAGAGUUGCCAGGCAUCCUUUGUGGGGGCACACAGGCCACCCCUGCCCUGUGCCUCUAUCUAUAAUUGUUGCUAGAUGGGGUGGGGCUGGCAUCUGGAAACCAAAAAGAGUUGAUUACAGAACACGGUUAAUGUCCCUUUGCUCCUCUCUGCUCUGCCGAUCCCCAUAAUAGCCUGCUAUCAUAGGAGGCCUGGGGCAGCCUGCGCCAGCGGGGCCUAGCCAGGCGGUGGACUGGGACAGUAGCUAGUGGGAGAGACAGCUUGUUAACCCAGAACUAAAAUAGACACCAGCUCCAUUUCAAAUCCCAGAGGCGGCAGAACCACAGUGGGAUGCUACCCGCUUAGACUGAAGGUUUGUAACUCAAAACAGCUGUUGCCUUCUCACUCUCCUGCACUUGUCCCCCUUCUCCACCCCCCCACCAACUGGCAAGGUGCCCAUUGUUCCUUAAUAAAAAGUGUUGGAAAUCCAAACUCAUAUAAAUCUCAACUCCAUUUCCCUCCACUCCACUGUGUUUCAAAUGAAUGAAGUGUCGUAGAACAAAAGGAAGACACAAAGCUGCCUGUAGGGAUGCCAGCUCUUAGGAUCAGGUGUUAGCUUCACCCUGACAUGACCAAUGGUCAGUCAUCCCCCUUCCCCCAGGGCUCCCCAGAUGAGGGAGAGAAGGCAGAGGAGGAAGCGGAGUCAGGCUAUGGCGAGCUGGCGUUUGGAAUCGGAGGUGAGGGACGGAGUGUUCAAGAGAGCAGGCGGCUACACAGAGGACAUCCUUUGUGUGAGGAUGUUGCUGGGCAUUGAAUGUCCAUCAGAAUAGAACUGAGCAACUGGCCAUACCCUGCUGUGAAUGAAGUCAGCUGGGAGAAGCAUCCAGGUCAGCCCGGCCAGCAAGAGAAUCUGAGCCACGCAUGUCCUUGGAAUUUUCUAGUAGCCAUUUUUUAUUUCAUUUCAUUUCAUUUCAUUUUGAGGAUCUCGUUCUGUCACCCAGGCUGGCGUCCAGUGACAUGAUUAUGACUCACUGCACCUUGACCUCCCAGGCUUUUAAAUGACCCUUCCACCUCAGCCUCCCAAGUAGCUGGAACCACAGGCAUGUGCCGUCACAUGCGGCUAAUUUUUUUGUAUAUUUUGCAGAGACAGAGUCUCCCUAUGUUGCCCAGGCUGGUCUUGAACUCCUGGGCUCAGGUGAUCUGCCCACCUUAGCCUCCCAAAGUGCUGGGAUUGUAGGCGUGAGCCACCCUGCCUGGCCCUAGUAGUCAUGUUUUAAAAAGUAAAAAGAAAGAGACAAAAUGAAUAAUGCUUCAUCGAGUAUACCAGUAUCAUCAAAAUAUAAUGUCAACACAUAAUCAAUAGAAAAAUUGUGAGUGAUGUGAUUCACAUUCUUGCUUCCAUGUACUGACUCUUUGAAAUCUGGUGUGUGUGACGCGACCCCAGCCCGUCUUGGCUGCGCCACACCAGCCACAUUUCAGGUGCUUAACAGCCCACAGAGAGGUUUCAGAUGAGCCACCUACGGCAGGGAGGGCUGCAGCUUUGACGCAGAGCCGUGUCUUGUGUGUGAAGGCCCAAGGGCAGCAGCUGGAUGGUCACCCUGUUGGCACAGCCACUGCUGAGGGUGAAACUUGGCCAAAGUUAUUGUGUAAUCUUAGAUGGCCCCCUGACGAAAGGAGUUCGGGUAAUAAGUAAUGUUAACAUCAUUUCAGUUAAAAUGUACCCAGCAAAUGAUUGAGUUUGUACUGUGUGCCAGGCACUUGCCCAGGCUUGAAGGAAAGAGUGAUGUUUGAGACAGGGUACGGGCUAGGCACAAAACAAGCUGGUUGGUUAUAAAACAAAGUUCAGGGGUGAGUUCAGGGCCCAGGAGGGCACAUUUCCCUCAGAUUCCAGGCAGGCAGAGGGAUCUGGUGGAUGCAAAACUUCUCCUUGGGAUUUUACAUCAGAGGCUGUGGUGCUUCACUUAAUUUCCUCUGGGUCAGGGCCCAACCGGGUCUGGUACUUCAUUGACCCUGGUCAUCUCUGAGUUCAAGGUGAUGACAUUAAAUCUCUGUUGGGAAUUAGUACAUAGGGAGCCCAAGGGGGCUCUGGCAGGAACCUCGGCUCCAUGAGUAGUGAGGGCAGCUGAGACCACCCCCUUCCUGUAUCUUAGUAGUGGGGCCACCAAAGGGAAAUGCCUUCUUUUUCCUGCAUUCUCCAGUGUUCCAAGGAAUGUUUAUCUCCCUUCACUGCACGCCUACCACCUACAGAGACCCCAAGACUCCUCAUAUACCCGUUAUUGAUCCCACCCUUGUCAAAUGUCAUCCUAAAAACAGGGAAAAGAUAAAAUAUUUGUCAGCAUUUCUAUUGAAGAGUCUGAGUCUGAGGCUUGGGCAGGCAGAAACAGAUUUUAAACACUUCUGGGGGCUAUGAACAGAGGUCCCUCAAGGAGGGGAAGACUGCCCCCACCCCUCACCUGACAGGUACAGAAGCCUUGGUCAGGACUACCCUGUCCCCCACCCAAGGCCCAGAGCAAGGAGUGGCCCACCCAGCUUCGGUAGCCACUACACACCCUUUGUGAAGUCCCUCAGACUCUGCCCAGUGCUUCACGCCACACUGGUUUGGUUGAACAGUCGGAGCGGGGCAUUGGGUUGCUGUGUGCAGCCUGGGCGGGUUCCUGGGGCAUGGGGAGGGACGGCUGCCUGGCCAGGGCCCUGUCACAGGGCCAUCACUGUUGCUCGCAGCAACUGGGAGAGAUUAGUGCAGCUGUCGGAUGUCAGUUCUCUGCCCCGAGAUGGGCAGGGGAGGGUGGGCUGAGGAGAGAAGAAUGUGUGAGUUGGUUGGGACUCUAGAGGAGAGGUUGUUUGCACUUACUCCUUCUGGCCUCUGGAGACAGAACAGGAAAAAUGAAGCAUGAAAUCCCUUUUGAGAAGGAAUGCCAGUCUCUCCAUUAAAACACAAUAAUGAGGAAGGAAUUCAGUAUCUGAAGGAAAUGGCCAAGCUGAGUGGCAGCUUCUCGGCAGGUAUUUCGCAGGUUCUUCUGAUGAGGGUUGCAGGGAGCAGGGAGUGUCAGCAUUAGGAAAUGCUCCCAGCUGAGCCAGCGUCCAGGCAUUAAGGAUGUGUGGGUCACAUAAGGAGCCAGGGCAUCUGCAAAUAGCUGUCCUCUGAACGCACAGCCUGGCAGAGUGGAACGAAGCCAGCCGGCUCCGUCCCAGCCUGCCGCCUGGCAGCUCUGUGACCUCGGGCAAGUGCUGACUUGGUUUCCCUAUCUGGAAAAUAGAUUUGAAGGCUGUUGUGAGGACGAAGGGAGAUAAUCCACAAUCCUCAGAGUGUAACAAAUACUAAAUGAAAUUUUUCUUCUGAUACUAUUAUUUAGAAUGUAUUUUUUAUAUAAAAUUUUAUAUAAAAUUAAAAUUUUUAGAUAUUUUAAACCUUCCAGCAUUUACAGUUAUAGGCAUUGUGCCACUCUAUGGCUAUCCCAUUCCAAUGGAAUUGAAAAGGAGUCAAAUUUCCAGGUGCGAUUUACUUGGCAGAGAACAUGAAAGCAAUUUGUCCUUUACUCUUAUAAACAGCUGUUUUUAUCUAGUUUCGCAUUUGUAAAGAUUGGGAAAUGGAGUGGCUCUUUAAAUUUGGUUUGACUCUUGCUUCCCACGUUUCUUAAUCCCACUGUGUGAAAAGCAGAUAUUUAGAAACGUGAAGGAACUCGACACCUUUAUGUAACAGAACAACACAUCACUUUCUUUAGAUUGUUGGGGGAACCCUAGGGUUCUAAGGAAGUGAGUUUCCUGAUGUUUGAAAUUUGCCAAUGCAGCCUUUCAAAAAUAUGCUUAGCAUAGUUUAAAAAAAAGAAAAUUCACCCUUCUUGCUGAUUGUGAGGAGGUCAGAUAUCUGUCCCUCAGCUAUCACAAUGGUAGACUUGAUGGAGUUACGUGACAGAGAAGAGAGCCCAAGGAAGCACCUGAGUGGUUUCUCAUCUCUGGGCCACUCUGUUAAGGCUUGUUUGUUGACUUUGGGAUUUUCAUCUUAUUCUGGAGAGUUAAGGUCGCCAGAUGAAUAAAAUACUACUGUUAGUGAGCACUGGGGGAGCUAAUCCCAAAACUGUUUAGCCACAAGGUUAAGAAGUUAAAAAAAAAAAAAAAGACUUUUGGUGUCCUUGUUUUCCAUUUCUGUAAAUCACAUUGCUGAUAAAUUUGCCUUUGGGCAUGCACCCUGCCCAUUUUAGGUACUAGGCUCAGUUACUGGCUACAGAUUGCAGAUUCCCUUUUCAGGGCUGAUGCUUUUAACAGUGAUAGUUAUUCCUGAUAAGUACCUUAACUCUGCUGUGAGGUAUCAAAACUGCUGGAUCUAUUUUUGGCUGCCUCUUUACCAUUACUCCCUCUAGAGAAUGUCCAUACCAUAACAACAUAUUUACAUAUUUAUCACACUGCAUUUCUAUCCCAGCUCAGAAUUGUGCAACUUUCUUUAAAAAAAAAAAAAAAAAAAAGGAUAUCCUGUCUUCUUCCAAAGACAUUUGCUGUCAGAAGAACAGAUAUCUGUGCCCUGCCUAAAUAGGUAGGCUGUGUAGCACAGACAGCCAUUAAUUCAAUGCUUUUUAAAAUUUUAGGGCCUCACGGUGGCUCAUGUCUGUAAUCCCAGUACUUUGGGAGGCUGAAGCAAGGGGAUCGCUUGAGGUGAGGAGUUGGAGACCUGUCUGGCCAACACGGCGAAACUCCAUCUCUACUAAAAUA